rnacentral:rRNA from 1 species
UACAGAGGCCUCGAGCGUUAGGCGGAAUCACUGGGCUUAAAGCGUGUGUAGGCGGACUUCUAAGUACCUUGUGAAAUCCCACGGCUUACCCGUGGAACUGCUGGGUAUACUGGUUGUCUUGAGCCACUUAGGGGCUACCGGAACAAAUGGUGGAGCGGUGAAAUGCGUAGAUAUCAUUUGGAACGCCAACGGAGAAAUCAGGUAGCUGGGGGUGUGCUGACGCUGAGACACGAAAGCCAGGGGAGCGAACGGG